UAUCGAUCAAUUUGCAAUUUUUUAUACACUUUUUUAAACACUAAAAAGGCUUAACUCAAUUUUUACUCAAACUUUUUAUGAUGCUUGCAAUGAAGUUAUUAACAACUAAAAAACGAGUAAAAGUAUAGUGAAAAAUCGUAUAUCGAUUUUGAAAAAAUAUAUUGACUUUGAUCAGCUGCUAUUUUGUUCAAAUGUAAUAAUUCAAAAAACGGUUACAUCAAGCAUUAGAUCUAUGUUUCAACUUUACAAAAUUUGUAUCAUUUUGUUUUCUAAUGAAUCCUGUGGGAGCAAUGGUCAAAGUAAACGCUGUUUUAAUAAUCGCUUUAAAUAAAUACUUGAUAAUAAAAUAAACAUAACUUCUCUAUCUGUUUUCGUAAAAAAUUCACAAAAUUAAAUCUCAUUUUUAUCAGUCUAAUUGUAUAAACUUUCUUAGUUGAAUCUUAACAAAGGACGCAACUUUUAAAUAAAUUAGUUUUUAUUUAUGUUGUUCUCAAUUUUUUUAAAUUUUAUAAGCCAUUAACUUUUACUUAAGUUUAACAAAAUACUAAUUUACCCAACCUUGCUGAAUAUUGCAAAACACUAUAUCAUACUUACUGUUUGCCUUCUAUUAAGUCGUUUUAAACUGCAUUUUAUUUUGCAAAUUCGUUUUUCGUCAAACAUACGAUUUUGAAAACAUACAAGCCAGUAGGGGCUUUCGGGUACAAAGUAAAGUGUAAGAAAAAUACAGCACUCUAAUGCAAGGAAAACUAUAUUCAUCUUGCGCCAGUCUAGCAUUACAGCUAAACAACAGAAACAGUUGUUAAGCCUGCUGCAAUUCCAGCUAUAACUCGAGCCGCAUAAAUAGUAAUUAAAGAUUUGGCGAAUAUCAAUGAAACCCAUGAUAUUACCGCAGGAAUACAAGAUAAUAAACAAACUACUUUACGUCCAUAUUUAUCCAUCAAAGGCCCAGCAAUGAGAGAUCCUAUUGAUUACCAAAUAAAACUGCAUAACAUUACAAAGCAAUUGUACAAGACAACAUAGCAAUUCUAGUCUUCUACUAAAUAAUCUAUUGCAUAUUCAUUAAGCACAAAUAUAAAAUCUAAUAAUAAUAAAACUAACCUAUCCAAGAUCCUUCACUCUCAGUUAUUUUCAUAUUGUCAU
rnacentral:lncRNA from 13 species